UACAGAGGGGGCAAGCGUUGUUCGGAAUUACUGGGCGUAAAGGGCGCGUAGGCGGCCUUCUAAGUCGAACGUGAAAUCCCCGGGCUCAACCCGGGAACUGCGUCCGAUACUGGAAGGCUUGAAUCCGGGAGAGGGAUGCGGAAUUCCAGGUGUAGCGGUGAAAUGCGUAGAUAUCAGGAGGAAUACCGGUGGCGAAAGCGACUCUCUGGGCCGAUACUGACGCUGAGGAGCGAAAGCGUGGGGAGCGAACAGG
rnacentral:rRNA from 1 species